CACUGGAUGAAACAGAUGGAUUCACUUGUCAGUCACAGUUAUCUUCUAGCUAUAGCCUACAAAACCUCAUCAACAAUACCUAUCAAGAACUAUGUUUGGUUGCACCAACAUCUCGUUGUUUGACUCUGCACCUGGUUUCUUUCUUCGCUCACGCUCCUCUACUGCAUGUCUGUUGAGAGAGCGACACAAAUGUUAAUGGGAAACAAGGCAAUCAGUUCCUACAUUGAGCGCCAGGGAACCAACCCAGAACAACACAAGUACACUGAGAUCUUUGGGACCAAGGACUUUAUUUAGUCAUUGCUCUCCUGCUACCCCCUGCUAUCUGGUGUGGGGCCACUGUGCUGUAGAUCACAUCAUCUGGUUCUGCUGCAUUUAUUUGUGUUUUGUUCUUGGUGACCACGGUGCUGUAUGUCACUGCAUCAUCAGGAAAUGGGUGCUGUUCAAGUCACUGGGGCUUUCAUGGUUUAGGGCCUGUUGUGCUGGUCCUCUAGUGUGACUCACAGUGCUGUAGGAAAUGUCCUGCUCAGGGUCAGCCGGCUGUACUUACCCUAACAACACAAGGUUAGAGGUUUUAUAACUUACACAUAUAAAACAUGUUGUUACAAGUCUACUGCCUAUCAACAGUGUUAAAUGUAACCCUGCCUUGUAAUAAAGUCUACUGUGUAUAGUGCUAAAUGUAACCCUGCCUUGUUACAAAGUGUACUAUGUAUAGUGUUAAAUGUAACCCUGCCAUUAACUGUAAUCAGAUGAACAAAUAAUAGGUUUUAUGACAUACAAUUUAAAUACUUUUCUACAUUCAAAACCUAUCAUCUUUAUUAUUUUUCAAAGUCCACUACUUAACAUUGUGUAUGUAUAGAGUGAAAUUAGUAUUU